rnacentral:rRNA from 1 species
UACGUAGGUGGCAAGCGUUGUCCGGAUUUAUUGGGUUUAAAAGGUGCGUAGGCGGCCCUGUAAGUCAGUGGUGAAAUACUCCAGCUUAACUGGAGGGGUGCCAUUGAUACUGCAGGGCUUGAGUGGAGUCGAAGUAGGCGGAAUUGACGGUGUAGCGGUGAAAUGCUUAGAUAUCGUCAAGAACACCGAUAGUGAAGACAGCUUACUAGGCUUCUACUGACGCUGAGGCACGAAAGUGUGGGGAUCAAACAGG